rnacentral:rRNA from 1 species
UACGUAGGUGGCAAGCGUUGUCCGGAAUUACUGGGUGUAAAGCGCGUGUAGGCGGCAGGCCAAGUCUGCGGUGAAAGCGCCCGGCUCAACUGGGCGAGGUCCGUGGAAACUGGUCAGCUGGAGGACGGUAGAGGCGGGUGGAAUUCCCGGUGUAGUGGUGAAAUGCGUAGAGAUCGGGAGGAACACCUGUGGCGAAGGCGGCUCGCUGGGCCGGUCCUGACGCUGAGGCGCGAAAGCUGGGGGAGCAAACGGG